CCCUGCUCAGCACACCACCUCCACACACUCCUCUCAGAAAACCCCCGUAUCGUUCCAAACUGUGAACCCAACACAGCUGAAGACAUCCCAUUCUUUCGGCUUUCUAAUAUAAAACUAGCAUAUUCGUCUAAAAACAUUUUUACGUCCGUAUCAUUCUAACUGUCUAUGGUCUUAUUGAUGUCCAAAUGACUUCCGGGUAUGCAGCAUACAACCGCUUACUACUUACGAUCGCUUCCAGGUCACGAAAAAAAUGAAUGAGGAAUAAGAUUUAUACACACAUUUUAAUUUCCGAGUUCCAUCUACAAAUACAUCAAAGACGAUCGGAUAACGAGAUUGUUUUUCGUUUUCCGUUUUUUAAUAUCAAAACAAAAAACGAAUAAUGGGUUGAAUCCGUGUACCUUCCGUUCAUUCGUUUUUCGAAGUGAAACCAAAGAGAAAAAAAACGAGAAACCACUUGUUUUUUUGUUUUCCGUUUUAAAAACAAAAACGGAAAAAACGGAUUAAGGGUCGUUUUUUUAUUUUCCGAUUCUCCACCUAAAUGAAAAAUAGAAAUUUUGGAUAAUGGGAUCUGGCAAAAAUUCAAAUACAAAUAAGAAAGAUGCCAAUUCCCUGAAAUGUCUGUGAUUGGUGAUGAUGUAGCUCGCUACAGUUAUUUUCUCCCCAGAAACAAUCAAAUCUCGUUCUUGAUUGGGUCCUUAAAUUAUGUCGUCAACAUUUCGGAUAACGAUCAUUUGAGCUGUCAAGCCUGAGGUAAACUACCUAAAGAGGAGGCCAGCAUCAAUUUCUCACUCUACUCCUCUAUUUGAUAAGAUGUCAGCGUUUGUCCUUUUCAACGGCGGCAAGAGGGUCACUCUAAGACCAGAAGACAUGACGAGCGUCAUUUUUCAGGUCAAAAACAAGAUAUAUAUCUCACAGAUGAUGCCAAUGUAGCAAUAUUUCCAGAAGAAAAUGGGACCUUCUUUUGCUUGGACCUCCAAGAUCGGGGGCACUAUGAAGUGCAUGGCGAACGUACUCAACAGGACUCAACUCCUGCCGUAGACCCUCCUGCCCCAUCUGCCCGCUUUUCAUUCCAGCGCCCACAUGCUGCCAGUGCUGCCUCCUCGAGUCGGCCCGUGACCAAGGCGUUCCA